rnacentral:rRNA from 1 species
GAUUAACGCUGGCGGCGUGCAUAACACAUGCAAGUCGAACGAUGAAACUCAUUAGAUUUCUUCGGAAUGAAAAUGAAUGGAGUAGUGGCGAACGGGUGAGUAACGCGUGAGUAACCUGCCUUACACAAGGGGAUAGCCUCUGGAAACGGAGAAUAAUACCCUAUGAAACCAGACAAUCGCAUGAUAAUCUGGUCAAAAUGUUUAGUGGUGUAAGAUGGACUUGCGUCUGAUUAGCUAGUUGGUGAGAUAAAAGCUCACCAAGGCAACGAUCAGUAGCCGGCUUGGGAGCGUGUACGGCCCCAUUGGGACUGGGACACGGCCCAGACUCCUCCGGGAGGCAGCAGUGGGGAAUUUUGCACAAUGGGGGAAACCCUGAUGCAGCGACGCCGCGUGAUUUAGAAGGCCUUCGGGUUGUAAAAAUCUUUUGUAUAGGAAGAAAAUGACAGUACUAUACGAAUAAGGUCCGGCUAAUUACGUG